rnacentral:rRNA from 3 species
GGACUACAAGGGUUUCUAAUCCCGUUCGCUACCCUAGCUUUCGUGCCUCAGCGUCAGAAAAGACCCAGUACGCCGCUUACGCCACCGGUGUUCCUUAGGAUAUCAACGCAUUUCACCGCUCCACCCUAAGUUCCGCGUACCUCUAUCUUCCUCAAGCACAGUAGUUUCGGGCGCAAUUCCUCGGUUGAGCCGAGGGAUUUCACACCCGACUUUCUGCACCGCCUACGCACCCUUUAAGCCCAGUAAUUCCGAAUAACGUUAGCAAGGUUCGUCUUACCGCGGCGGCUGGCAC